AAACGUGCUGUCGUAGCCCUACACUUUGUCAGUUUACGGAGGUAACUACUGCCGACGAUCAUCAGCUCGAUUAUGGGAGGAACAUGUUCCAUUCCACUAUUUACUUACAUCAAGCAUACCGGAACUGACGUACGUGGGCGCGAGAAGUUGUCAAACCCCACUCUUUCACCAGCUUUCCUUCAGCACACAUCGUAACUACUAACUCUACCGACCUCAGUCGACUACAAACAGGCGCUGAUACUGUUCAACACUCAGCAAAGGCCAGCUGUACGAUUUACCUGUGUAGCAAGGCUCAAGCCGCACAUAUCAAGGGUAGAGAAG
rnacentral:lncRNA from 1 species